rnacentral:rRNA from 1 species
CCAGACUCCUACGGGAGGCAGCAGUGGGGAAUAUUGGACAAUGGGGGGAACCCUGAUCCAGCGACGCCGCGUGAGUGAAGAAGUAUUUCGGUAUGUAAAGCUCUAUCAGCAGGGAAGAAAGAAAUGACGGUACCUGACUAAGAAGCCCCGGCUAACUACGUGCCAGCAGCCGCGGUAAUACGUAGGGGGCAAGCGUUAUCCGGAUUUACUGGGUGUAAAGGGAGCGUAGACGGCAUGGCAAGUCAGAUGUGAAAGCCCGGGGCUCAACCCCGGGACUGCAUUUGAAACUGUCAGGCUGGAGUGCAGGAGAGGUAAGUGGAAUUCCUAGUGUAGCGGUGAAAUGCGUAGAUAUCGGGAGGAACACCGGUGGCGAAGGCGGCCUGCUGGACUGCAACUGACGUUGAGGCCCGAAAGCGUGGGGAGCAAACAGGAUUAGAUACCCGAGUACA